rnacentral:rRNA from 1 species
UACGGAGGAUGCGAGCGUUAUCCGGAUUUAUUGGGUUUAAAGGGUGCGUAAGCGGGCUUUUAAGUCAGCGGUAAAAAUUCGGGGCUCAACCCCGUCCGGCCGUUGAAACUGGGGGCCUUGAGUGGGCGAGAAGAAGGCGGAAUGCGUGGUGUAGCGGUGAAAUGCAUAGAUAUCACGCAGAACCCCGAUUGCGAAGGCAGCCUUCCGGCGCCCUACUGACGCUGAGGCACGAAAGUGCGGGGAUCGAACAGG